rnacentral:rRNA from 1 species
CUACGGGCCGCUGCAGUGAGGAAUAUUGCACAAUGGGGAAACCCUGAUGCAGCAACGCCGCGUGGAGGAUGACGCAUUUCGGUGUGUAAACUCCUUUUAUCAGAGAAGAAAAUGACGGUAUCUGAUGAAUAAGCUCCGGCUAACUCCGUGCCAGCAGCCGCGGUAAUACGGAGGGAGCAAGCGUUAUGCGGAAUCACUGGGCGUAAAGGACGCGUAGGCGGGUUUUUAAGUCAGGUGUGAAAUCCUAUGGCUCAACCAUAGAACUGCACUUGAAACUGGGGACCUAGAGUAUGGAAGGGGCAGGUGGAAUUAGUGGUGUAGGGGUAAAAUCCGUAGAUAUCACUAGGAAUACCGAAAGCGAAGGCGACCUGCUGGGACAUUACUGACGCUGAGGCGUGAAAGCGUGGGGAGCAAACAGGAUUAGAUACCCUCGUAGUC